AUUGAACGCUGGCGGCAGGCCUAACACAUGCAAGUCGAGCGGAUGAAGGGAGCUUGCUCCUGGCUCCAGCGGCGGACGGGUGAGUAAUGCCCAGGAAUCUGCCUGGUAGUGGGGGAUAACGUCCGGAAACGGGCGCUAAUACCGCAUACGUCCUGAGGGAGAAAGUGGGGGAUCUUCGGACCUCACGCUAUCAGAUGAGCCUAGGCCGGAUUAGCUAGUUGGUGGGGUAAACGCCUACCAGGGCGACGAUCCGUAACUGGUCUGAGAGGAUGAUCAGUCACACUAGAACUUAGACACCGUCCAUGGUCCUACGGGAGGCAGCAGUCGGCUAUAUGAGACAAUGGGCGGAAACCUGGUCCAGCCAUGGCGCGUGUGUGGAAGAGGUCUUCGGAUUGUAAAGCCCUUUAAGUGGGGGGGAAGGGCAGUAGGUUAAGACCGUGCUGUUUUGACGUUACCAACAGAAUAAGCACCGGCUAACUUCGUG
rnacentral:rRNA from 1 species